UGUACUGGAUGGGACUCUGUCUGAUGGUCGGGCCUUCAGUGGUGGGGGCUGCCACCUGGACUCUCGGGGGUUUCCUCCACGGCACCUGUACCCCCAUCUAUCUGGCUGCAGGAGCUGGGGGUCUCCUUUGGAGAGUGCAGCGCUGCGCUGGGUCACAAUAUCCUGGAGCCUGUGGUGCACCUGGCCCGGUCCCUCAAGAUGCAAGAAGAGCGCCUGAAGGGCUCGCUGGUGGAGGUGGCCCCCGAGAAGCCUCCAAAGAGAGCUGGCUGCUGCUUCUGAGGUGCUAGCCUGUCUGGGGUGGGCUGGCCACCUCCCUGGGUUUCCUGUGCCUUGGCUCCUGCCCCACCCGCCUGGACACAGCAGUGACAGAGACGACUGGCUCAGAAGUUCUGGAAAACCCUCCUUGGGUCAGGACUCAGACCCCAGGGCAGAGGCUGCACUAAUGCUGGCCUUUACACUCCCAGAGAGGGACUUUUCUGAGUAAUAAGGUUGGUGGGGUGGGGAUGGGGGGGCCAGUUAAAACUCUUUAAAGAAAGGAAAAGUCCAGAAAAAGGGCUUAAGGAAAAUACACCACAGUAUUGGCAAAACAUCUCUAAGUGAUAAAAUUAUAGGAUAAAGGUGUGGCAGUGUUUUCCUUUUUACAUCUAUUUGUAUUUACAGAUCUUCUACGAUGACUGGGUAUUCCUUCUGUAGUCAGAAUAAGAAUAAAUCUUGAAGGCGGAAGGAAACUUUUAAAGAGCUUGCUUGGUGCUGAUUCCUAAUUGAAAUGGCCUGUUAAUUGCAAAGUACUCUGUUUAUUAAAGCAGUCCCACUCUUCCAUGCCUGGCAAAGCUGGUGAACCUUGUCAUUCUCAAUGUGUCGGUUUGCAAACAGAGGGUUUCUUUCAAGCAGAAUCUGAUUCCUGGGCAAGAGCUGAUGGCCCCUGGUAUGUUCCAUUCCCCUUAUCUCCCUGAGCCCCAACCCCACUCUCUUUUCCCAAGAUCUGCCUCUAAGGGCUCACAUUUGGGGACCUCACCCCCUGCUCCACGCCAUGGUGCCUCUGAUGCCAACCUCGGCCUUAAGGAUACACUUGUCAAUUUCUGGAUACACUCAAAGUGCAGCUGGGGUGUGGCUGGGGGAGCCUGGGAGCAGCAGGAAACUGGAUUCAGAUUAUUCACAGGCUCCUCUUUGGAGUUUUUGUGAGAGUUCCCAGAAUUACACAACAUUCGCCUCCUGAAAGGUGGCUGUACGUUAUAACCCGGGGCCGGGGAUUUCAGUGCCCUUGGGGAGCUUGCUUUGAAAGCCUUAGAUGGCCUCGGGUGUUGUGCUAUCUCCUGUCAUCAGUGUUUGCUGUAAAUGUUGACUGUCACAUCUUACCGUUAACCACAGAAAUGCUUACCAGGUACUGUGGUCCAGAGUGGGCAGGUUGCUGAAUCUGGUUCUUUGUAAUCAUUCGGAUAUUGGUGACUUCCUCCUCUGAAUCAGAGGAAACCUCAGUUUCGUAGACAGACAAGCAAAUUCAGUUCCAGAGACAGAGGUACAGAGAGAGAGACUGAAGGAGAAACAGGAGGGCAAGAGACAGCGGAAAGAGACAGCAGAAAUAGAGACAGCGAUGUAGUGAACAAAUGUAUGGAUACCAAGGGGGAAGGGUGGUGGUGGGAGGAACUGAGAGAUUGGUACUGACACCCAUAUACACUAUUGAUUAGGAACUCUACCUAAUGCAUGGCAGUGACCUGAAUAGGAAGGAAGUCCAGAAGGGAGGGGACGUAGGAUUACGUGUGGCUGAUUCAUUGUGCUGUGAAGUAGAAACUAACACAACACUGUCAAGCAACUGUACUCCAGUAAAAAUUAAUUAUAUAUAUUAAAAAAAGCCUCUGUUCUUGGUCCUUAUCCCUCUGCUCAGUUCUAAAGGACUGAGCUGUCUGUCACUAGAGGCAAACAAGCAGAAGCCAGGGAACACUUGGCAAAGAGGUGAAGUGGAGAAGAUUCCCGUAUCAGAAGGCAGCAGAGGUUACAUUAGAUUCCUUUAGUGGGUCCCAUCUCUAGUCAGUGCAGAACAAUCCCUGUGAUCAGCUGUUUCUCUUAGCAGUCUGGCUCACUGAUUCUUUCUCAGCCCCUGUGUUUUCCCCCUCCCUGGGUCCUGGGAGCCCACAGCCCUCCUCCUGUUCUGAGCAGGUUUUAGGCCCUAGUAUGCUCAGAGAAAGACAGCCAGAGAUAGCCAGAGACAGGAAGAGGCAGGCCGGC
rnacentral:lncRNA from 1 species